rnacentral:tRNA from 1 species
GCCUGGGUGGCUCAGUUGGUUAAGCGUCUGACUUUGGCUCAGGUCAUGAUCUUGAAGUUUGUGAGUUCAAGCCCCACAUUGGGCU